UCUCCGUUGGUGAACCACCGGAGGGAUCAUUACUGAGUUUUCACAACUCCCAACCCUUGCGAACCGUACCCAUUCUGUUCUCGUUGCUUCCGGCAGGGGGGACGGGGGGGCCCGAAACUGCCUCCCCCCCCCGUCCCCCGGGGGCGGCGGGCCCUGCGAACCGUUAUAUCUCAGCCACCAGAAACCGUCUGAGAAAACAAACAAAAUAAUCCAAACUUUCAACAACGGAUCUCUUGGCUCUG
rnacentral:misc_RNA from 1 species